AAGGUAAAUAACGAUAGCUGCAUGUUUACUUUUUGCGCUCUGCUUCGAAUCCAAGUUUUUCGUUCUGAUGCAAAAGUUUUAAAAUAAAAAGUAUUUUGUCGAUCCCUAAAAUAACGCUUUGUUUUGCAACGACGCUCCGAUGGAACAACUGAAGAUGUUGGAAGCAGGUUGGAAGUAGUGCUGUUGCCAACGAUCACGUUAGUUUUUGAUUCGCUAUUCGUCGGAUCGCUAAACCAUUUUAUUAAAACUUUGUGGUCUCUAGAACCGAUAUUGAACGACGUGGCGCACCGGCGCUAAGUGCUCGAGAUCAGGCGAAAAUUGGUUCCGGAUAAAAAGAUACCAUCGUUAUCAAUCUUAUCCUUUAUCGAUAAAAUCGGAUGGAAAAGGUGUGUCUAAUUAUGCAUCUAUUUCAAUCAAAAUUCAGGUGGCAUUAGUGGCUGGUUGUGUGCUAAUUAAUAAGAGAGUUCACAAAGUGGUCCAGGAGAUCCUUUCUUUUCAAAGAUGGGCCGGAUAUGUAUUCAAUCAUCAAAAAGUAACAACAUAACAACCUGACAAAGCCAUAUAACAAUGAUAAUAAUGUAAAUGUUCCAGAACAUGAUUUUUAAAAAUAAAUUCAAAUA